rnacentral:rRNA from 1 species
AUGGAAAGGAUGGCAUGCUCAUACUUCAAAGAGGUUUUCACCAAGGAUCCGACCCUGGAUCCGACCAAGGUUCUGGAUACUAUCACCCCUAAAGUCUCGCUGGAGAUGAAUGAGGCCUUAUGCAGAGCGUAUACGGAGGAGGAGAUAUCCAAUGCGUUGUUUCAGAUUGGUCCGUUGAAAGCCCCGGGAUGUGAUGGUUUCCCGGACAGGUUCUACCAACGGAACUGGGAGACUCUUAAGGUGGAAAUCGUGGCAGCGGUACAGGAGUUCUUUACUAGGGGAAUCAUGCCGGAUGGUGUUAAUGACACGACUAUUGUGUUAAUUCCCAAAGUGCAACAUCCGCAAGAACUCAAAGAUUUUAGACCCAUUAGCUUAUGCAAUGUGGUGUACAAAAUUGUCUCCAAGUGCAUGGUAAAUAGGCUUCGGCCACUGUUGGAUGAGCUAAUUUCUGAAAAUCAGAGUGCCUUCGUCCCUGGUAGACUUAUCUCUGACAACUCCACAAUUGCUUUUGAAUGUAUCCACCACAUACAAAACGUCAGGCAAAAUUCUUCGCCAUGGUGUUCUUACAAGCUGGAUCUUUCAAAGGCGUAUGAUCGUGUUGACUGGAACUUUUUGGAGAGGGCUCUGUCCAAGUGGGGUUUCUGUGGUGCUUGGAUAUCCCGUGUUAUGUUAUGCGUUACAUCUAUGAGGUAUUCUGUGAAAUUCAAUGGCAAGUUACUGGAGGCUUUCUCCCCCUCAAGAGGGCUCCGUCAAGGUGACCCCUUAUCACCCUUUCUCUUCCUCUUUGUGGCUGAUACACUGUCUGCCCUGUUGCAUAAAUCAGUGAGAGAGGAUGGCCUACAAGGGGUCAAGAUAUGCAGGUCUGCCCCGGUGAUUACGCAUCUUUUGUUUGCAGACGACUCACUCCUAUUUUUUCAAGCCUCGGAACAGCAAGCUAAUUUGGUUAAGAGUGUGUUGAACACGUAUUCGGCGGCGACUGGACAAUUGAUUAACCCAUCGAAGUGCUCCAUCCUCUUUUCAGAAAAUUGUUUGCCAUCUGUGAUACAUGAGGUGAAGUCGGUCUUGGAAAUAACCCAGGAAGUUUUUGAGCCUAAGUAUUUGGGCCUCCCGGUCCCGGAAGGAAGAGUACAUAGGGGAAACUUUGAAACCCUCCAGGAUCGGUUACGAAAGAAACUUAUUGAUUGGAGCAAACAAUACGUGUCUGCUGGAAAUAAGGAAAUAUUGAUCAAGGCAGUCGCACAGGCGAUACCUACUUAUGUCAUGAGCGUCUUUAAGUUACCUACAUCGGUAUGCGAUGAGCUGACUCGCAUGAUCCGCCAGUAUUGGUGGGGCGUUGAGAAUGGGAAGAAGAAGAUGGCAUGGAUGAGUUGGGACAAGUUACGACUACCAAAAUCUAUGGGUGGCAUGGGGUUUAAGGAUAUGCGGGCUUACAAUCAAGCUUUACCGGCCAAGCAAGCUUGGAGAUUGCUAGAUUCACCGGAUAGCCUAUGUGCAUGGCUCUUGAAAGCUUGUUACUACCCGACGGGACAACCUUUGGAUACCUCAUUCUCUGGUAAUGGCUCUUCUGCUUGGAAGGGCAUACUUCAUGGUCUUGACCUGCUG